GGGUUGUGAGGUUAAGCGACUAAGCGUACACGGUGGAUGCCCUGGCAGUCAGAGGCGAUGAAGGACGUGCUAAUCUGCGAUAAGCGUCGGUAAGGUGAUAUGAACCGUUAUAACCGGCGAUUUCCGAAUGGGGAAACCCAGUGUGAUUCGUCACACUAUCAUUAACUGAAUCCAUAGGUUAAUGAGGCGAACCGGGGGAACUGAAACAUCUAAGUACCCCGAGGAAAAGAAAUCAACCGAGAUUCCCCCAGUAGCGGCGAGCGAACGGGGAGGAGCCCAGAGCCUGAAUCAGUGUGUGUGUUAGUGGAAGCGUCUGGAAAGGCGCGCGAUACAGGGUGACAGCCCCGUACACAAAAAUGCACAUGCUGUGAGCUCGAUGAGUAGGGCGGGACACGUGGUAUCCUGUCUGAAUAUGGGGGGACCAUCCUCCAAGGCUAAAUACUCCUGACUGACCGAUAGUGAACCAGUACCGUGAGGGAAAGGCGAAAAGAACCCCGGCGAGGGGAGUGAAAAAGAACCUGAAACCGUGUACGUACAAGCAGUGGGAGCACGCUUAGGCGUGUGACUGCGUACCUUUUGUAUAAUGGGUCAGCGACUUAUAUUCUGUAGCAAGGUUAACCGAAUAGGGGAGCCGAAGGGAAACCGAGUCUUAACUGGGCGUUAAGUUGCAGGGUAUAGACCCGAAACCCGGUGAUCUAGCCAUGGGCAGGUUGAAGGUUGGGUAACACUAACUGGAGGACCGAACCGACUAAUGUUGAAAAAUUAGCGGAUGACUUGUGGCUGGGGGUGAAAGGCCAAUCAAACCGGGAGAUAGCUGGUUCUCCCCGAAAGCUAUUUAGGUAGCGCCUCGUGAAUUCAUCUCCGGGGGUAGAGCACUGUUUCGGCAAGGGGGUCAUCCCGACUUACCAACCCGAUGCAAACUGCGAAUACCGGAGAAUGUUAUCACGGGAGACACACGGCGGGUGCUAACGUCCGUCGUGAAGAGGGAAACAACCCAGACCGCCAGCUAAGGUCCCAAAGUCAUGGUUAAGUGGGAAACGAUGUGGGAAGGCCCAGACAGCCAGGAUGUUGGCUUAGAAGCAGCCAUCAUUUAAAGAAAGCGUAAUAGCUCACUGGUCGAGUCGGCCUGCGCGGAAGAUGUAACGGGGCUAAACCAUGCACCGAAGCUGCGGCAGCGACGCUGAUGCGUUGUUGGGUAGGGGAGCGUUCUGUAAGCCUGCGAAGGUGUGCUGUGAGG
rnacentral:rRNA from 1 species